UACGCUGCCCACAACUACUACACUGAAGCUUCGAAGUGCUACACCAUAAAUGUACAACCAAUUUGCAAGCAAGGUUAUGUGACGACGUGCUGCUGUUAAAUCUUGUAUCUUUGAUGCAUAUGACCGUUGGUGUAGUGAUGUUUCCUGGGUAUGGCGGAUAUUAAACCGCAACGCUACUGUCUUGCUACACAACAACAAUCUUAACGACCUGUUACUACACCGAAAAGGCUGAAUAUUACACAAGGACGUACACUACCCCAGUUUACUACACCGAAGAGCCUGAGCAUUACUCUGCUCCGAGCUACAACGGAGGCUCCUGUUUACUACACCACCAUCGCCCCCGAGUGCUACUACACCACGUUGCCCCCAACCGCUACAAAGCGAAGUACUACACCAUCGAAGGAAAUCAAUUCGCAUUCACGGAUUACUAUGGUGUUGUGCUGCUGUCGGGUGUUGUAUCGUUGAUGGUUGGGUGGAUUAUGAGUGUACCGAUGUCUCCUGGGUAUGGUGGUUUUCAAGUACUAGCAGCUAUAGAAUCACCACGUUGCUGUCUUACUAUUUAACAACGUCGCCAUACGCAACACCUACUUACUACACUGAUGCUCGUAAAUACUGCACCUCCAAGGCUCCAAGAGUACUACACGAAUAUCUACGCUGCUCCGAGCUACACUGAGGCUGUAGCUUAUUAAUCCACAAAGCGGCCGAGUACCGAGGGUUUCCAAGUACUACACUUCAACCUACUGCAGAGCAGUAGUUAUCAACAACUGCCAUAAUCGUAUGAAAUAUUCGCAACCGUUGGGGCGUAUCGUAUUAUCACUGGUGUAUUGAAGCCUCUGGAUAUGGGGGAUAGAAUAUUCAACCGUUAAAGUGCAUCACCAAAGAGCCAGCUAACCUAACUACAUCGAGGUUUCAAAGUACUACACCACUGAAGCACCGGCAACGGAAUACUACACUACGCAUACUGCCUCUGCCUACUAGUCUACUACACCGGGGCUUUUAAUUACUACAGCACCAAAGUAUCACCCAUUUUGGUUUAUCUCCUUUUUUAUUGCGAUUUCUUCAUUUCUAUGAUCUCUUCCUUUUAUACGAUAUAUUUUUU